rnacentral:rRNA from 1 species
CCUACGGGAGGCAGCAGUGGGGGAUAUUGCACAAUGGGGGAAACCCUGAUGCAGCGACGCCGCGUGGGUGAAGAAGCGCCUCGGCGCGUAAAGCCCUGUCAGCAGGGAAGAAAAUGACGGUACCUGAAGAAGAAGCCACGGCUAACUACGUGCCAGCAGCCGCGGUAAUACGUAGGGGGGAAGCGGUAGCCGGAUUUACUGGGUGGAAAGGGGGCGCAGACGGCGAUGCAAGCCAGGAGUGAAAGCGCGGGGCCCAACCCCGGGACUGCUCUUGGAACUGAGGGGCUAGAGUGCAGGAGGGGCAGGCGGAAUUCCUGGUGUAGCGGUGAAAUGCGUAGAUAUCAGGAGGAACACCAGUGGCGAAGGCGGCCUGCUGGACUGCAACUGACGUUGAGGCCCGAAAGCGUGGGGAGUAAACAGGAUUAGAUACCCUUGUAGUC